UACGUAGGGACCAAGCGUUGUUCGGAAUUACUGGGCGUAAAGCGCACGUAGGCGGAUUUGUAAGUCAGGGGUGAAAUCCCGAGGCUCAACCUCGGAACUGCCUUUGAUACUGCAAAUCUCGAGUCCGGAAGAGGUGAGUGGAAUUCCUAGUGUAGAGGUGAAAUUCGUAGAUAUUAGGAAGAACACCAGUGGCGAAGGCGGCUCACUGGUCCGGUACUGACGCUGAGGUGCGAAAGCGUGGGGAGCAAACAGG
rnacentral:rRNA from 1 species